AGUAUCUCUGGAGGAUGUUAAAAAGAAGCUACUAAAGUCAGAAGUUAUGAAUUCAGUAGGUCCAGGUACGGGCGAUUGCAGUUCCUGUUGGCCAUUACUAGCCAAUAGUAGCUGUGGAAAGCAGCACAGACUGGGACACCGGAUUGGCCCACAGCCUGGUAUUUGACCACUGCUGCCUUAGGAUGAUCAAGCAAGUCAUUCCAUGUCCUACACAUUAUAGAAGAUUACAGGGAUACAAAACCUCAGACAGAGGAUGUGUCAUAUAUUUUGUUUCUGCUGACUUUGGCAUGUGACAUAUCCUGCUUGUAUGGAUGACAAGCCUGUCCCCUACUGGGGCCAGCUAGAAGAAUCUCAUGAGGGACUACCUCCCAUUGGAGCAAACUGUUUUCCUUCUCAAGCAGAAGCCAGGAGACAUUUACAGUAAAUAGUCCAAGACUGGAAUUCCUGAAAUCUAAAAGAAAGCAGACCGUUAACACAAACUUGUUGGAUCUGGGGAGUGAUGACCUACUGCAACUGUGGAUCUUUAUGUAUCACUCAGAAUGCAACAAUACUAGGAUAUCAUUGAGGAAAUUACAACACUGUUACUCUGCUAUUGUUACUUUUAAUCUGUAGGAAUUUACAUCUCAGAUACCCUCACAUUCUCUAGACCAGGAAUGGGCAAGAGAAACACCCCGCACUCAGAAUCAGGCCUGCCAACCCUUUCAAUCUGGCCCUCCUGUCCCUGCGGCAUGAAACAACACCCCUCAAAGUAGCUGCAGCGGGAGGGACAGAGGCUUUGCACACUGCCCCACCCCCGUCAAAAUUUCUCAGUUCCUAUUGGCCAGAAACUAGCCAAUGGGUGAUUAGAGAUUUUGCUGGGCGUGGAGGCAGUGCAGCACAAUUUCUCAGCUCC